GCUGGGCAUGGUGGCUCAUGCCUGUAAUCCCAGCACUUUGGGAGGCUGAGGCAGGUGGAUCACCUGAGGUCAGGAGUUCGAGACCAGCCUGGCCAACAUGGUGAAACCCCGUCUCUA
rfam:Homo sapiens chromosome 10, GRCh38 reference primary assembly.